rnacentral:tRNA from 1 species
GCGCUCGUAGCUCAGUGGAUAGAGCGAGGUCUUCGUAGGUCCCAGGUCGGCGGUUCGAAUCCGUCCGAGCGCUCCA